rnacentral:pre_miRNA from 1 species
UACGCUCUUCUGUUUGGCAGUGUAAUUAGCUGGUUGUUAGCUAUUCAAGUACAACGGCUGAUUGCACUGCCGCAACAGAGCAGCAACA